CCCGGGCGUGGUGGCGGGUGCCUGUAAUCCCAGCUACUCAGGGGGCUGGGGUGGGAGAAUCCCUUGAACCCAGGGGGCUGAGAUCAUGUCAAUGCCCUCCCGCCUGGGCGACGGGAGCGAAACUUGGUUUCAAAAAAAAAAAAAAAAAAUUAUCCUUUUUUUUUUUUUUUUUUGAGACCAAGUUUCGCUCUCGUCGCCCAGGCUGGAGUGCAUUGACAUGAUCUCAGCCUCCUGGGUUCAAGUGAUUCUCCCACCUCAGC
rnacentral:SRP_RNA from 1 species